rnacentral:rRNA from 1 species
AAAUUGAAGAGUUUGAUCAUGGCUCAGAUUGAACGCUGGCGGCAGGCCUAACACAUGCAAGUCGAACGGUAACAGGAAGAAGCUUGCUUCUUUGCUGACGAGUGGCGGACGGGUGAGUAAUGUCUGGGAAACUGCCUGAUGGAGGGGGAUAACUACUGGAAACGGUAGCUAAUACCGCAUAACGUCGCAAGACCAAAGAGGGGGGCCUUCGGGCCUCUUGCCAUCGGAUGUGCCCAGAUGGGAUUAGCUAGUAGGUGGGGUAACGGCUCACC